CGGGUUGUAAAGCUCUGUGGGGAGGGAAGAUAAGUUCCACCUAAUACGUGGAGCGAUGACGGUACCUCCUUAGCAAGCACCGGCUAACUCUGUGCCAGCAGCCGCGGUAAGACAGAGGGUGCAAACGUUGUUCGGAAUUACUGGGCGUAAAGCGCGUGUAGGCGGCUUUGCAAGUCGGGCGUGAAAUCCCAUGGCUCAACCAUGGAAGUGCACUCGAAACUGCAGAGCUAGAGUCCUGGAGAGGAAGGUGGAAUGCUUGGUGUAGAGGUGAAAUUCGUAGAUAUCAAGCGGAACACCGGUGGCGAAGGCGGCCUUCUGGACAGUGACUGACGCUGAGACGCGAAAGCGUGGGGAGCAAACAGGAUUAGAUACCCUGGUAGUCCACGCCGUAAACGAUGAGUGCUAGGUGUCACGGGCUUUGACCCUCGUGGUGCCGAAGCUAACGCGUUAAGCACUCCGCCUGGGGAGUACGGCCGCAAGGCUA
rnacentral:rRNA from 1 species